rnacentral:tRNA from 1 species
GUUCAGGGAUGGGAAUUGAACCCACACGUUUACCGGGCAGAUGCCAUGUCCACUAGGCCACCCUGGA